GUUACACCGUCAAUUCGGAUUCUCUUUCCUCUGUCCAGUUUACUUCCCGCAAUUGCAUAAUAUUUCCAUCAGAGUUUCCCGCAAUUCCUGCAUAAUCAAAGAUUUAUUUCCCAAACAGCAAUUCAAAAUUGGAUUCCCAGAAGGUAAUGGGGAACAGGAUGAGCUCCAGAAUCUGUCCAUUUAUUAUCUGAAGUCAAGCUUGCGGAAUGUUGAGAUUUCUUAUGAGAGACGAACUGCCUUUUUUCUGAAACAAGGAUGAACAAGGACAAAAAAGAAAACUAGCCGGGAAACUAGUCACAAGAUAAAACAUACUUAUAAGACUCAAGAGGUAGUUGGGAACAGUAUGAGCUCCACGAUCAAAAUACCUGUCCGUAUCUUUUCUGAAGUCAAGCUUGUGGAAUACUGCAAUUUAUUUCGACAGACGAACUGCUUCUAGCCUUCUAUUUCUGUGACAAAAAAGUCAACGGGGCAUUUUGAGAAUCAAACUUGGACCUUUUGCAACCAAAGCGAGAAUCAUACAAGUACAUGGCAAGGUUCCAACUUCCAAGCACCAGGAUCAGGCGAACCUAUCCGUAUCUUUUAUAUGACGCAUAACCAGAGCCGGCUCAAGUGCAUAGCAUUACGAGGCAUAGUGCAAAAAUGCAUCAUUGUCGUGGUGAUGGAUCUUGUGGUCAAUGCAAAUGAUUUCCCAUCAAUGCGGCUUAUAUAUUUCGGUCACGGUAAACUCAAAAAUCUCUUCGAUACACCAAUGCAGUCAAGUUUUUGCACUAUGUUAUGAGCUAUCAGGAGAACCUAGUCAUAUCUUUUAUGUGAAACCUGAGGAAAACAGCAGUCUGAUUUGAUCGACAUGCAGCUUCUAUUAUGUUAAAUACUAAACAAAUUCAUCGCUUUUGGCAUGUGAAUCUGAUAUUUUUUUUAUCUAAUACUUUAACACAAAAACCAAAUGGUGAACUCAUUAGUGAUACUGGUACAUUUGGAAGAACUAGAGUUGAAAAGCUAUAAAAACUUGUACAAGUUUGAUGGGGCA